CCAGGGUUGAUAGCCUGGUUCCAGUGACCUUUCCACAACCUGAAGUUGCUGCGCCGAAUCCUGUGUCGGAGCAGAUUCCUUCUACGUCCGGAGUUUCGGUCCCUUCACCCGGAGGCAGAUCUGGAAGGCAAGGAGUGCCCGCAGCACCUAUGGCUCCUGGUGGACGACAAUUAAUGCCGCUGAUUCAGGCUUCGGUUUCCCCUGCAACUUGGCAGGCGCAUGGCGCAGUAGGUCCGACGGUGUGGAUGGUGGGUCAUUCCUACAUUUUCUGGGCAGCGCAGAGAGCCGAAUGUCGACCCGGCGGGAGAUCCCUGGGCUUCAGUGAUGUGAGAGUGUCGUGGAGGGGGAUCCGGGGCCUCAGAUGGUCCCAGCUGUUGUCACAGGUGGUGGAAAUUGGCA